UACGUAGGCAGCGAGCGUUGUUCGGAAUUAUUGGGCGUAAAGCGCUUGUAGGCGGUCUGUUAAGUCCUGUGUGAAAGCCCUUGGCUUAACCAAGGAAGUGCGCAGGAAACUGGCGGACUUGAGUGCCGGAGAGGGUCGCGGAAUUCCCGGUGUAGAGGUGAAAUGCGUAGAUAUCGUAAGGAAGACCAGUGGCGAAGGCGGGUCUCUGGACAGUUCCUGACGCUGAGGCACGAAGGUCAGGGGAGCAAACGGG
rnacentral:rRNA from 1 species